GAGUCACUAGCUCUGACCACUUACAAAGGUGAUAUGUUUGUCUAUUGAACUAAGAGUCUAAUGUCAUCAAGGUGCUAAAACAACGUGGAGUGCAUAUUCCAAUACUCCCUCUCUCUCCAUGGUCUCUUAGAUUUGUUUUUGAGAAAUUUACUUGUGAUGGAUCACCUUCAGCAGGAAAUUGACGAGAUGUCCACUAAUGCUUGCUCCAGAUUUCUUUGAAGAAUAGAAAUGUGGAAAAUGCUCCUUUUGAUUCCAUGCUUCAUCAAGAUUUUGCUCUUACUUUUGAGUCGGUAGGUUUAGAUAGAUUCUAUGCGAUUCAAAUUAGUUACCGCCUUGGAUUCUAUCAAUCACAGGAGUGUAGGUUAUAGGUAGAGAGUUUCAAGGGAGUAAAGCUCAAGUGUUUUGAGAACCAAGCAUUGGUUGAGAAGUUUCUGAUGGAGAAAUUGUAGAUGAUUGUGUAGUUGGUUUUGGUUUAGGUAGAAAUCCGAUUGCUUCCCGUAAGCAGCAGUGUGUAGCAAUUUCCAGUGGUUUUGUCAUAAUGUUAGCCUGUUGUUUGGUUGUAGAUAUAUGAUCUAUGAGGAUAUCUCCAGCCGCACUUCUUUUUUUAAAUAAAGUGAAACUGAAUCUCUAGGUGUUUUGGUUUGGAGUGUAGAAUUGGAUUAUCCACAAGUUUGAUGCAACCUUAAUUAUCGCUAUGAGAGAGGGUUCAGUGCCGCACAACUUCAGCACUUACAUCAUUUGUUGUAAAUAUAUAGCAUCCUUUGCAGCUUCCAAGAGUACACGAUACUUGGCUUCUGUUGUGCUCAAAGCCACAAUGGACUAUCUUUUGCUAGACCAAUCUAUUGGUACAUCAUCCAAUUUAUGGAUGAGUCUAGAAAUGGGACGCCUAGUGUCCAAGUCUUUGCCGUAGUUAGUAUGGAUCUUAUUGUGCUCCACCUGACCACGGGAGCAUAAGUAUCGAAAUAGUCUACCCCUGGUGUUUAUUCGAAUCCCCUUGCUACCAAUCUUGCCUUUAGUUUGUUUGUCUUUCCAUUGUUGUUCCUUUUAAUUUUGAAAAUCCAUUUCAAACUGACGGCUAUUUUCACUUCUGGCAGAUCCACAAUUUGUCAGGUGCCGUUUUUUUAUUAGUUACUCUAUUUCUUCCUAUAUGGCGGAUUUCCACUCCUCUUAUUCAAUUGCUUGUUCAAAGCUCUGCGGUUCAAUCUUGUUUUCUGCAGACAUAGUAGUGAAAUAAUCUUUCAGUUUUCUAUUUGGUUGUCUUUCUCUAGUGGGAUAUCGUUGUUGUGAUCUAGUGUCAUCAAUUCCUGAGCCAUUGUCUCGUUUGAUUUCUACGUGAUGACUUGGUUCUGUUUCUAUUCUGUUGUCUAGUUCAAGUUUGUGUCCUGUUUUGAAGUCUUGAUGUCUGGCACCCGUUUCUUCUGUUGAUGAUUGAUCAAGUUGCCGAUUCGAGACUGAUUGAGUUUUUGAUCCUCCAUUUUCCUUUGUUGGUAACUGAUUGGGUUGUCUUUCUACAACAUGUUGUUUUUCUGUAUUCUGGAUUUCAGUAUAUUCAUGUUCUUCGGCUGCUCUGGCUGUGUUGUGCUGAAAUCCCAGCUUAGUUUCACCACACGCAGUGUCCCUAGAAAUCAGAAUUUGUUGUUUUGUUGGUUCGAACAGUCGAUAAUCUUUGGUUUGCUUGUCGAAAUCCAAGAGUAUACACUUCUGUGUUUUUUAUUCUAGUUUGCAUCUCUGAGUCUUUGGAGUAUGAAUGAAAGCUAAGCACACAAACGUUCUAAGGAAUCUUACAUCGGGUUUUUUUUAGCAUACUAUUUUUUGUAAGGAGUGGUGCCGCAAUUAGCUGCGGUAGGGCUUCUGUUCACAAUGAACGUAGCAGUAUUGAUAGCUUCACACUAGAGAAAACUGAGAAGAUUACAUGCGGCCAACAUACUUUUGGCUCUUUCAAAUAUAGUCCUGUUUCGCCAUUCCGCGAUCCCGUUUUAUUCAAGAAUAUCCGGGUGAGUUAGUUGCCUCCCAAUUCCAUUUGGAUUAUAGAAUGCUUGGAAUACACGAGCAUGAAUUCCCCUCCACGAUCAAUUCUUAAGUUCGCAAUUUUCAGUCUCGUUUUUGUUUCUACUAAGACUUUUAAAGUUUUAAAUAUGGAUAGUGUCUCAGAUUUUGCUCACAUGAAGAAGGCCUAGGACCUUCUUAAGUAAUCGUCUGUAACCAACAUGCAGUAUCUGGAUCCACGUGGGGAAGGCGUCGGCAUUGUACCUACAAGGUCUGCAUGUAGAAGUUAUAGAAUCCUUGGUUCGGGUGAAGGAUUUCUUUGGGAACCUUUCACAGUGUUGUCUUUCAGCCAGACACUGCGCACAUACAGUUUUGAUUGGGUUGAGGGAUGGCAUACCUGUUACUUUAUUGUGACGUGAUAAAUAGCUAAGGUUGUUAUAGUUUAGAUGCCCAAAUCUUUGAUGCCACAGUUCGAUUAACUUUGAAUCGCUACCUAGGGUUGUGUUACUUCGUACGAUUUUAGUUGCAUGGUUUGAUUGUGUGAGGAGAAUGUCAAUCUUGUAUAAUCCGUUUCUUUUGCCACAAUGUCCUGCCAAGAUAAGUUUGUUCCUUUGAUUCACAAUCCAACACUACUUGUUAGAGAAGGCCACUACUUUUUCAUUUUGUGCUAGGCAUCCUAGAGAAAUGAAAUUCUUUUUGAGGUUGAGCACAUAGAGAACCUCAUUGAGCUUAAUUUCUCCUUGUGAAGUAUAUAGAGUUACACUGCCAGUGUCUUCUAUUGUGUGUUUCUCUCCACCUAUUGUAGUAUCAUUUCCAUGAUUUCUUGGUUUGUGUAUCUAGGAAUCUUCUAUUCCCUGUGACAUGGCGAGUCGCCCCUGAAUCUAGAUAGCAAGGCUAAAUUUUAUCUGAUCCUCUUGUGAUAUCUGUGAGAGCUGCGUCGAUAUCCUCAACUGUGCUUGCUAUGUCAUGUCGUUCAUUUGUGACAAUGUUUGCGUUGGUAUCUUCUUUUAGUACUGAGAACUUGCUUCGACAGAGUCGUGCUGGGUGCUCUGAUGAUCUGCAGACGUAACAUCUGAAGCCUGUGCUUGAAGAGGUUCAAAGUGUUUUCUGGUGCAUUGCUCGUCCUAUGUUGCGAUACUGAUUCAAUUAGUGUAGGUUUUUAGUUCUACGCCAGUAGUGUGGGAUGCCACGAUUCAGUGAGUGCGAGCUGCUGUCUGAUUUCGUGUGAAUUGUACAGUAAGAGCACUGUCUUCUCCGAGCAUGUUGCUGCGCAGUUCAAGCUGAUGAGAUACAUUUAGUAACUUAGAGCUUAUUGACGCAACGUUUGAUAAUUUGUCCAGAGCGGUGAGGCUUUGGAUUAUCCCUUUGUAGCUUGGAGGGAGCCCGUUAAGAGUAAGUUGAACUGGUGUUUUAUCAGCGUCUUUAAAUCCUAGCGCAGACAUGUUACUCUUCAAUGCUUGCCAUGUGUCCGCUAGAUUGUCAAUCUUUGAUAGUCUUUGUAAACUCAUCCUUGACUGCCAUUACAACCAGGGCUUGCACCUUGAGUUUGUGUAUUUUGAAUUGUUCUGUUGUGAAGGUAGAUGCUCCGAUUGUGGUAGGAAAGGAAGAUGGUAUCAUUUUAUUUUCUACUAGGUCCCAUAAAUUCUCCCUAUAGCUCUCAUUUUUAAUUUUCAUAUGUUGCAGUUCCUCGCACA